rfam:Angiostrongylus costaricensis strain Costa Rica genome assembly, scaffold: ACOC_scaffold0002269
GGGGGUAUAGCUCAGUGGUAGAGCGCUUUUUCAGCCUUGAGGAGGCCCGGGGUUCGAUUCCCCUACCUCCA